UUUCACCACUAGAAGCAGCUGUUGAGAUUAUUAUCAGAGCUACUCGUAUACUCAAAAUGUUUUAUUUUAGGUGAUUGUUGAUCCGCUUGUCAAAGAGAACAUCGACUAUGUAGCGAAUUUGUUGACGGUUUCAAUUUGGGGGCAACGGUUUCACCAAAGAAAAUAUUCUAUUCUAGGUUUCAAACUUCAAAGCCCAAGUUGUGCACUCUUUCUUGGUUGGAAUAAAGGAUCUGUUGGCCGUUCAAAAAACAAACCAAAUUCAUAUCAUUUGUAUUCCUGUUUAAUCUUAAUCAGCAACCUUAUUUCUAAAUUUGCUUUUCCAUUUUUAUGAAAUAUUUAUUGUAGUGUCAUGUUAUUAUAUUGAAUUUUUAAUCAUAUUCGUAUAUUUUGUAAUUACAUUUUAG
rnacentral:lncRNA from 1 species